rnacentral:rRNA from 1 species
AGGACGAACGCUGGCGGCGUGCUUAACACAUGCAAGUCGAGCGGAAAGGCCUUUCGGGGUACUCGAGCGGCGAACGGGUGAGUAACACGUGAGUAAUCUGCCCAUCGCUUCAGGAUAGCCAUCGGAAACGGUGAUUAAUACUGGAUAUGACAUUCCUUCGCAUGUUGGGGUGUGGUAAAGUUUUUUCGGCGGUGGAUGUGCUCGCGGCCUAUCAGCUUGUUGGUGGGUAAUGGCCUACCGAAGGCUUUGACGGGUAGCCGGCCUGGAGAGGGUCGACCGGCCACACGUGGGACUGGAGACCGACGCCAGACGUCCGUAGGGACGGCAGCGAGG